GGGUUGUGAGGUUAAGCGACUAAGCGUACACGGUGGAUGCCCUGGCAGUCAGAGGCGAUGAAGGACGUGCUAAUCUGCGAUAAGCGUCGGUAAGGUGAUAUGAACCGUUAUAACCGGCGAUUUCCGAAUGGGGAAACCCAGUGUGUUUCGACACACUAUCAUUAACUGAAUCCAUAGGUUAAUGAGGCGAACCGGGGGAACUGAAACAUCUAAGUACCCCGAGGAAAAGAAAUCAACCGAGAUUCCCCCAGUAGCGGCGAGCGAACGGGGAGCAGCCCAGAGCCUGAAUCAGUGUGUGUGUUAGUGGAAGCGUCUGGAAAGGCGCGCGAUACAGGGUGACAGCCCCGUACACAAAAAUGCACAUGCUGUGAGCUCGAUGAGUAGGGCGGGACACGUGGUAUCCUGUCUGAAUAUGGGGGGACCAUCCUCCAAGGCUAAAUACUCCUGACUGACCGAUAGUGAACCAGUACCGUGAGGGAAAGGCGAAAAGAACCCCGGCGAGGGGAGUGAAAAAGAACCUGAAACCGUGUACGUACAAGCAGUGGGAGCACGCUUAGGCGUGUGACUG
rnacentral:rRNA from 1 species